GACGAACGCUGGCGGCGUGCCUAAUACAUGCAAGUAGAACGCUGAAGGAGGAGCUUGCUUCUCUGGAUGAGUUGCGAACGGGUGAGUAACGCGUAGGUAACCUGCCUGGUAGCGGGGGAUAACUAUUGGAAACGAUAGCUAAUACCGCAUAGUAGUAGAUGUUGCAUGACAUUUGCUUAAAAGGUGCAAUUGCAUCACUACCAGAUGGACCUGCGUUGUAUUAGCUAGUUGGUGGGGUAACGGCUCACCAAGGCGACGAUACAUAGCCGACCUGAGAGGGUGAUCGGCCACACUGGGACUGAGACACGGCCCAGACUCCUACGGGAGGCAGCAGUAGGGAAUCUUCGGCAAUGGACGGAAGUCUGACCGAGCAACGCCGCGUGAGUGAAGAAGGUUUUCGGAUCGUAAAGCUCUGUUGUGAGAGAAGAACGAGUGUGAGAGUGGAAAGUUCACACUGUGACGGUAUCUUACCAGAAAGGGACGGCUAACUACGUG
rnacentral:rRNA from 1 species